rnacentral:rRNA from 1 species
GUAGGUGGCAAGCGUUGUCCGGGAAUUAUUGGGGCGUAAAGCGCGCGCAGGCGGUUCUUUAAGUCUGAUGUGAAAGCCCACGGGCUCAACCGUGGGAGGGUCAUUGGAAACUGGAGAACUUGAGUACAGAAGAGGAAAGCGGAAUUCCACGUGUAGCGGUGAAAUGCGUAGAGAUGUGGAGGAACACCAGUGGCGAAGGCGGCUUUCUGGUCUGUAACUGACGCUGAGGCGCGAAAGCGUGGGGAGCAAACAGGAUUAGAUACCCUGGUAGUCCACGCCGUAAACGAUGAGUGCUAAGUGUUAGGGGGUUUCCGCCCCUUAGUGCUGCAGCUAGCGCAUUAAGCACUCCGCCUGGGGAGUACGGCCGCAAAGGCUGA